rnacentral:lncRNA from 1 species
GAGGUGGGGCUUGCCUUUUUGGAAAGCUUCUCAUCUGGCUUGGGGAGAGCCUUUGUGGUGAGACUUGGUGACCAAGAGUAUAUCCUUGGUGGAGCUCCAACAUGGACUAGGGGUGUCAUUUGCCUACUGAUAUCAUGGAAUAAAUCGUCAUAUAUCUAGUUGUGCAUCUUUCCUAACCCACUUCUUUACGUUUUUGCAUUUCAUACUUGUAACUCUUGUGCCUUUACUUUUCUUAAAGUAGUUCCUGGUAGGAUUGGCUUUAGGUUACAAAAUUCUUUUUGGGUGGGAACUUUAACUAGAUCAACCCUAUAUACACAUUAGAUAGCAUGAUGUAAUUUUUGUUUUGAUGCAAGUAGUGGAAGCCAUAGGGGUUUUUAUGUUUGCCUAAAUCACCA